AUCCAGCUGACCAGUCCCAAAAAGGACGAGAAGCCCAUCCUGGAU
rfam:Schistosoma mansoni strain Puerto Rico chromosome 1, complete genome